rnacentral:misc_RNA from 1 species
UCCGGCUUAUCACCGGCAGUUUCUUUAGAGUGCCCAACUAAAUGGUGGCAACUAAAGACGAGGGUUGCGCUCGUUGCGGGACUUAACCCAACAUCCCACGACACGAGCUGACGACAGCCAUGCAGCACCUGUGUUCCCGCCAGCCGAACUGAAGAGCUCCAUCUCUGGUGCUCAUACGGGACAUGUCAAAGGUUGGUAAGGUUCUGCGCGUUGCUUCGAAUUGAACCACAUGCUCCACCGCUUGUGCGGGCCCCCGUCAAUUCCUUUGAGUUUCAACCUUGCGGCCGUACUCCCCAGGCGGGGUACUUACUCCGUUAGGUGCGGCACCGGCGGUAACCCGCCGACACUUAGUACCCAUAGUUUACGGCGUGGACUAC